GCCUGCUUGGCGCAGUGGUAACGCGUAGCACUUGUAAAAAACAGAAAUGCUAAGAUCAUUGGUUCGAUUCCAGUAGUAGGCA